UUUGAAAUCUGGUCCCCAGGGCCCGAGUUGUAAUUUGUAGAGGAUGCUUUUGGCGCGGUGCCUUCUGAGUUCCCUGGAACGGGACGCCACAGAGGGUGAGAGCCCCGUAUAGUCGGACACCAAGCCUCUGUAAAGCUCCUUCGACGAGUCGAGUAGUUUGGGAAUGCUGCUCAAAAUGGGAGGUAAAUCUCUUCUAAAGCUAAAUACAGGCUAGAGACCGAUAGCGCACAAGUAGAGUGAUCGAAAGAUGAAAAGUACUUUGAAAAGAGGGUUAAAAAGCACGUGAAAUUGUUGAAAGGGAAGCGCUUGUGACCAGACUUGCGCCCGGUUGAUCAUCCAGCGUUCUCGCUGGUGCACUCUGCCGGGCUCAGGCCAGCAUCGGUUCUUGCGGGGGGAUAAAAGCCCCGGGAAUGUAGCUCCCUCGGGAGUGUUAUAGCCCGCUGCAGAAUACCCCCGCGGGGACCGAGGUACGCGUUCCGCAAGGAUGCUGGCGUAAUGGUCACCAGCGACCCGUCUUGAAACACGGACCAAGGAGUCAAGCAUUAGGGCGAGUGUUUGGGUGUCAAACCCGCACGCGAAAUGAAAGUGAACGUAGGUGAGAGCUUCGGCGCAUCAUCGACCGAUCCUGAUGUAUUCGGAUGGAUUUGAGUAAGAGCCUUACCGCUUGGACCCGAAAGAUGGUGAACUAUGCUUGAAUA
rnacentral:rRNA from 1 species